rnacentral:rRNA from 1 species
GAUGAACGCUGGCGGCGUGCUUAACACAUGCAAGUCGAACGAUGAAGCCCAGCUUGCUGGGUGGAUUAGUGGCGAACGGGUGAGUAACACGUGAGUAACCUGCCCUUAAAUCUGGGAUAAGCCUGGGCAACUGGGUCUAAUACCGGCUAGGAGCGUCCACCGCAUGGAGGGUGUUGGAAAGAUUUAUCGGUUUUGGAUGGACUCGCGGCCUAUCAGCUUGUUGGUGAGGUAAUGGCUCACUAAGGCGACGACGGGUAGCCGGCCUGUGAGGGUGACCGGCCACACGAGGACUGAGACACGGCGCAGACGCCUACGGGAGGCAGCAGUGGAGAAUAUUGCACAAUGGGCGCAAGCCUGAUGCAGCGACGCCGCGUGAGGGAUGACGGCCUUCGGGUUAUAAACCUCUUUCAAUAGGGAAGAAGCGAAAGUGACGGUACCUGCAGAAGAAGCACCGGCUAACUACGUG